AUGACGUUAAUUGAUUUGUUCAAUUUUACAUGAAUGCGGUGACUUGUCGGUAACGAGCAGAUGGUCAUGACAGGCUUCGAUAUUCUAUAAAACUAGAAACUAUCUAGACAGUACUUCAACAGAAAGCUGGAUAGAGACAAUUCGUCACAUCAAGCUACGAGAAAGCAUAUCAUCAUUUCAACGAAUCAUACUCGGACACUGCAUCAAAAUCAGACUUUGAAAAUGGCGUCAAAAACCAUGAUUGCUCUCUACUUUCUGAUUGUCUUGGCUGUGGCAGCAAGUGUUUUAGUUGAGGAAGAUGCGAUCGACAAUUCCGAUGCCUUGGAUGUCGAGGAGAACGGCGACAAAAGAAGAAAGAACAAACCAAUAGUUGCAUGUGUAUAUUAUGGUCAAUCGUGUACCUGCCAGGGAAAAAGAGUACUAACGUGUGAUGGGCGGUAGCAACAGUAGCACUGAGAAGUUCGGGAAGCAGGCUAGCUGGAUAUUCUCCAUGUGGUCAGACGACUUCUCCGUUUGUUGAGACUUUUGUGAAAUAAAUGCAAAAAAAACCCCAUUAGUAAUCAGUCAACACUGACCUUAACCCUAACCCAAACGAAUUUAUUACCCUGCCUU